ACGAACGCUGGCGGCGUGCUUAACACAUGCAAGUCGAACGGAAAGGCCCUGCUUUUGUGGGGUGCUCGAGUGGCGAACGGGUGAGUAACACGUGAGUAACCUGCCCUUGACUUUGGGAUAACUUCAGGAAACUGGGGCUAAUACCGGAUAGGAGCUCCUGCUGCAUGGUGGGGGUUGGAAAGUUUCGGCGGUUGGGGAUGGACUCGCGGCUUAUCAGCUUGUUGGUGGGGUAGUGGCUUACCAAGGCUUUGACGGGUAGCCGGCCUGAGAGGGUGACCGGCCAAAUUGGGACUGGGAUACGGCCGAGACCCCUACGGGGGGCAGGGGGGGGGAAUUUUGCACAAGGGGGGGAAGCGUGAUGAAGCAACGCCGGGGGGGGGAUGACGGCCUUCGGGUGGUAAACCGCUUUCGCCGGGGACGAAGGGGGGGGAAGGGAAAUGGGUAAAGAAGCACCGGCUAAUUACGU
rnacentral:rRNA from 1 species